AGCAGCCGCGGUAAUUCCAGCUCCAAUAGCGUAUAUUAAAGUUGUUGCAGUUAAAAAAGCUCGUAGUUGAAUUUCGGGACCAAUCUGCCGGUCGUGCCUCCGGUACGCACUGGUUUUAUUGGUUUCUCCCUUCUGACGAACCAUGAUGUCAUUAAUUUGGUGUCAUGGGGAAUCAGGACUGUUACUUUGAAAAAAUUAGAGUGUUUAUAGCAGGCUCACGCUUGAAUACAUUAGCAUGGAAUAAUGAAAUAGGACGUUUGACCCUAUUUUUGUUGGUUUCUAGGAUCGACGUAAUGAUUAAUAGGGAUAGUUGGGGGGCAUUAGUAUUCAAUUGUCAGAGGUGAAAUUCUUGGAUUUAUUGAAGACUAACUACUGCGAAAGCAUUUGCCAAGGAUGUUUUCAUUAAUCAAGAACGAAAGUUAGGGGAUCGAAGACGAUCAGAUACCGUCGUAGUCUUAACCAUAAACUAUGCCGACUAGGGAUCGGAUGAUGUUAAUUUUUUUAAUGACUCAUUAGGCGC
rnacentral:rRNA from 1 species